rnacentral:rRNA from 1 species
UACGUAGGGUGCAAGCGUUGUCCGGAAUUAUUGGGCGUAAAGAGCUCGUAGGCGGUUUGUCGCGUCGAAUGUGAAAACCCGGGGCUCAACCCCGGGCCUGCAUUCGAUACGGGCAGACUAGAGUUCGGUAGGGGAGACUGGAAUUCCUGGUGUAGCGGUGAAAUGCGCAGAUAUCAGGAGGAACACCGAUGGCGAAGGCAGGUCUCUGGGCCACUACUGACGCUGAGAAGCGAAAGCAUGGGGAGCGAACAGG